rnacentral:rRNA from 1 species
GAUGAACGCUGGCGGCGUGCCUAAUACAUGCAAGUCGAGCGAACAGACGAGGAGCUUGCUCCUCUGACGUUAGCGGCGGACGGGUGAGUAACACGUGGAUAACCUACCUAUAAGACUGGGAUAACUUCGGGAAACCGGAGCUAAUACCGGAUAAUAUAUUGAACCGCAUGGUGCAAUAGUGAAAGACGGUUUUGCUGUCACUUAUAGAUGGAUCCGCGCCGCAUUAGCUAGUUGGUAAGGUAAAGGCUUACCAAGGCGACGAUGCGUGGCCGACCUGAGAGGGUGAUAGGCCACCCUGGAACUGAGCCACGGUCCAGACUCCUACGGGAGGCACCAGUCGGGAAUCUUCCGCAAUGGGCGAAAGCCUGACGGAGCAACGCCGCGUGAGUUAUGAAGGUCUUCGGAUCGUAAAACUCUGUUAUUAGGGAAGAACAAAUGUGUAAGUAACUAUGCACGUCUUGACGGUACCUAAUCAGAAAGCCACGGCUAACUACGUG